CGCAGGCGAGAGACCAGGAAAUUUUCUUGGAACACUUCAUUUUUCAAUCAUGCCUCUCCACCCAGAACUGCCAAACUGUUUCCCACCAGCCAUGUAUGAGAUCUCCAAUUUUGCUACAUCCUCAUCAACACUUAUUGCUCAUUGCUAAUGCACAGAAAUGCAAUUGAUU